rnacentral:rRNA from 1 species
UACGUAGGGGGCGAGCGUUGUCCGGAUUUAUUGGGCGUAAAGGGCGCGUAGGCGGCCUGUUAAGUCGAACGUGAAAUCCCCGGGCUCAACCCGGGAACUGCGUCCGAUACUGGCAGGCUUGAAUUCGGGAGAGGGAUGCGGAAUUCCAGGUGUAGCGGUGAAAUGCGUAGAUAUCUGGAGGAACACCGGUGGCGAAGGCGGCAUCCUGGACCGAGAUUGACGCUGAGGCGCGAAAGCGAGGGGAGCAAACGGG